GACGAACGCUGGCGGCGUGCUUAACACAUGCAAGUCGAACGGUAAGGCCCUGCUUUUGUGGGGUGCUCGAGUGGCGAACGGGUGAGUAACACGUGAGUAACCUGCCCUUCACUUUGGGAUAACUUCAGGAAACUGGGGCUAAUACCGGAUAGGAGCUCCCGCUGCAUGGUGGGGGUUGGAUAGUUUCGGCGGUGGGGGAUGGACUCGCGGCGUAUCAGCUUGUUGGUGGGGUAGUGGCUUACCAAGGCUUUGACGGGUAGCCGGCCUGAGAGGGUGACCGGCCACAUUGGGACUGAGAUACGGCCCAGACUCCUACGGGAGGCAGCAGUGGGGAAUAUUGCACAAUGGGCGGAAGCCUGAUGCAGCAACGCCGCGUGCGGGAUGACGGCCUUCGGGUUGUAAACCGCUUUCGCCUGUGACGAAGCGUGAGUGACGGUAAUGGGUAAAGAAGCACCGGCUAACUACGUG
rnacentral:rRNA from 1 species